rnacentral:rRNA from 1 species
GACGAAGGUGGCUAGCGUUGCUCGGAAUUACUGGGAAUAAAGCGCGCGUAGGUGGUCCUGUAAGCGGGGGAUGAAAGCCCAUGGCUCACCCAUGGAACUGUCCUUCGGACUGCAGGGCUGGAGGGCGGGAGGGGAGAAUGGAAUUCCCGGUGUAGCGGUGAAAUGCGUAGAUAUCGGGAGGAACGCCGGUGGCGAAAGCGAUUCUCUGGCCCGUUCCUGACACUGAGGCGCGAAAGCUAGGGGAGCAAACAGG